GACCCCGUAGCUCAGCUGGAUAGAGCGUUGGUUUCCUAAACCGAAGGUCGCGUGUUCGAAUCUCGCCGGGGUCG
rnacentral:tRNA from 1 species